CCCUGGGUAGUGUAAACAGUUAUCACACUUGGCUGCUAACCAAAAGGCUGGAGGUUCAAGUCUACCCUGAGGUG
rnacentral:tRNA from 1 species